GGUAGCGCCUCGUGAAUUCAUCUCCGGGGGUAGAGCACUGUUUCGGCUAGGGGGCCAUCCCGGCUUACCAACCCGAUGCAAACUGCGAAUACCGGAGAAUGUUAUCACGGGAGACACACGGCGGGUGCUAACGUCCGUCGUGAAGAGGGAAACAACCCAGACCGCCAGCUAAGGUCCCAAAGUCAUGGUUAAGUGGGAAACGAUGUGGGAAGGCCCAGACAGCCAGGAUGUUGGCUUAGAAGCAGCCAUCAUUUAAAGAAAGCGUAAUAGCUCACUGGUCGAGUCGGCCUGCGCGGAAGAUGUAACGGGGCUAAACCAUGCACCGAAGCUGCGGCAGCGACGCUGAUGCGUUGUUGGGUAGGGGAGCGUUCUGUAAGCCUG
rnacentral:rRNA from 1 species